rnacentral:lncRNA from 1 species
GGACCCGCUGGAGAGUCCGGCCCCAUGGGGGAGAGAGGCCACCCGGGCCCCCCCGGCCCCCCGGGAGAACAAGGGCUGCCAGGACCGUCUGGCAAAGAGGGCACCAAGGGAGAUCCUGGCCCCACCGGCUCCCCCGGGAAGGACGGUCCCGCCGGCUUGCGGGGGUUCCCCGGUGAGCGGGGCCUGCCCGGCACCCCGGUGAGUAAAACCCCUCGCGGCACCGCGCUGACCCCCCCCCGGCUCCUCUCACCUUCCCGCAGGGCGGCCCAGGGCUGAAGGGCAACGAAGGACCAGCCGGACCCCCGGGGCCUGCGGUGAGUGUCGCCCUCUCGCCCGCCGCCCCUCGGCCCCGCGGCUCCCCUCCGCUUCAUCCUCCCUCUCCCGUCCCCAGGGCUCCCCCGGAGAGAGAGGCGGCCCCGGGCAAGGGGGCCCCGUCGGCCCCCCCGGGCGACCGGGACCGCAAGGGCCGCCGGGCCCCGCCGGAGAGAAAGGCGUCCCUGUGAGUAGCUGGGGGGGGGGGGGGGGGGGGGGGGGGGGGGGGGGGGGGGGGGGGGGGGGGGGGGGGGGGGGGGGGGGGGGGGGGGGGGGGACCGGAGCGGGGGCGCGGGGACGCUUGGGCCCUGCUCAGAGCCCCGAUGAGCGAAGGGGCGCGGAUGGGCGCCUGCACCCCCAACCCUCCCCUUUUCCUCUCCCCACAGGGUGAGAAAGGCCCCAUAGGCCCUGCCGGCCGCGAUGGCGUCCAGGGCCCCGUGGGUCUGCCGGGCCCAGCCGGCCCCCCCGGCGGCCCCGGCGAGGACGGUGACAAGGUGAGGUCCUGCCCCGGCCGUCCCCGUCCCGCCGUCCCCCGCCCCGACCGCACUUAACCGCCCCCCUCCUCCUCCCCGCAGGGCGAGGUGGGCGAGCCGGGCCAGAAGGGCAGCAAGGGCAACAAGGGCGAGCACGUGAGUACGGUGGCCUGCAGACCUCGGCCCCGAUGUCCCCCGUUGUCCCCCGGGGCCACCCCAGCCUCGCUCACCCCUGCUCUUCCUUGCAGGGUCCUCCCGGUCCUCCUGGGCCCAUCGGGCCGGUCGGGCAGCCCGGAGCAGCCGGUGCCGACGGGGAGCCGGGUGCCCGCGGCCCCCAGGGGCACUUCGGCGCCAAGGGCGACGAGGGAACGCGGGGCUUCAACGGCCCCCCCGGCCCCAUCGGCCUCCAGGUGGGCAGCGCGGAUCCGCCCGGCGCCCCGCGGUUACCCCCACCCGAGGUCCUCGGGGUGC